rnacentral:rRNA from 1 species
CUGAUGAGUUGCGAACGGGUGAGUAACGCGUAGGUAACCUGCCUCAUAGCGGGGGAUAACUAUUGGAAACGAUAGCUAAUACCGCAUAAGAGUAAUUAACACAUGUUAGUUAUUUAAAAGGAGCAAUUGCUUCACUGUGAGAUGGACCUGCGUUGUAUUAGCUAGUUGGUGAGGUAAAGGCUCACCAAGGCGACGAUACAUAGCCGACCUGAGAGGGUGAUCGGCCACACUGGGACUGAGACACGGCCCAGACUCCUACGGGAGGCAGCAGUAGGGAAUCUUCGGCAAUGGACGGAAGUCUGACCGAGCAACGCCGCGUGAGUGAAGAAGGUUUUCGGAUCGUAAAGCUCUGUUGUU